rnacentral:rRNA from 1 species
CGCUACUACCGAUUGAAUGGUUAGUGAGGCCUCCGGAUUGGCUUCUGGGAGCCAGCAAUGGCACCUAGUCGCUGAGAAGUUGGACGAACUUGGUCAUUUAGAGGAAGUAAAAGUCGUAACAAGGUU